rnacentral:lncRNA from 1 species
CACAUGAAUAAAUAACUAAGAAAAUCAUGGAGUGUAUAAAUAAUGUUUAAGUACAUGAAUAGUAAAUGAGACAAAAAUAAUUUAUUAUCACAGACAAUCAAAUAUCACAGCCAGACAUGAAUAACACAUACGUGUAUAAAAUUCUCCACAAUAAUCACAUAAUCGUAAAUAGAUAAACAUUUAUCUUAAAAGUAAACUGCAUUUCUAACUUUGGGGUUUGUGUCUUGUAAAGCUUUUAAAUUUACCUAUUGAAUGCUGGUUGAAAAAUAUGGGUAAAAAACUGUACAAUGUAUAAAUUGGCACCUGUCAAAUUAAAAUUGGCACAAAAUUUUCUCAUAUUGCUGUGCAGAAACAAUGAACUACAUUCAUGUUUCCAGACUUGUAUAUGAUAUAAAGCACUUUACCAUUAUAACUGUUCUUUAGAGAUCAGCACUUCUGCAAUCAAUAAGUUGCCAUCAAAAAGUUAUCUUUCAGCAUUAAAAAACAAUUAUAUUUUAUUCAAAGUAGAAAUUAAUUACAAUAUAAAAUGGACAGAUGUACUAAAGACUUUAUAUGCACUCUAUCCAGUACCUGUAAAAAUCUCUAAUGGGGGCAACAUUUGAGAUAAUUCAUAUAUACAGUUCGCCAUAAGUUAAGCACCACCUAUUUUUAUUGCAUCCAUUUUUUUUUCAUUUAAAAAAAUCAGUUAAUCCUCGAAAAAGAAAAAAAAAUAAUCAUGAAGCAAUUUUGCUAGCAUAUACCAUAAACAAAC